rnacentral:rRNA from 1 species
AUUGAACGCUAGCGGGAUGCCUUACACAUGCAAGUCGAACGGAGUGGCGAACGGGUGAGUAAUGUAUCGGUACGUGCCCAGUAGCGGGGGAUAACUACGCGCAAGCGUAGCUAAUACCGCACACUAUUGGAGCGGCCGAUAUCGGAUUAGCUAGUUGGUGGGGUAACGGCUCACCUAGGCGACGAACCGUAGCUGGUUUGAGAGGACGACAAGCCAAACUGGAAUGGAGACACGGCCCGGACUCCAACGGGGUGCAGCAUUGGGGAAUUUUGGAAAAUGGGGGAAACCCGGAUCCAGCCAGCCCGCGGGGGCGAUGAAGGCCUGCGGGUUGUAAAGCACUUUUGGCAGGAAAGCGGUACCUGCAGAAUAAGCACCGGCUAACUACGUGCCAGCAGCCGCGGUAAUUC